UUGACGGAGAGUUUGAUCCUGGCUCAGGACGAACGCUGGCGGCGGGCCUAACACAUGCAAGUCGAACGAACUCGACCUUCGGGUCAUAUAGUGAGUGGCGAACGGGUGAGUAACACGUGAGAAACCUGCCCCGAAGACUGGAACAACCCGAGGAAACUCGGGCUAAUACCGGAUACCCCCAUCGGAUCGCAUGAUCUGAUGAGGAAAUGCUCCGGCGCUUCGGGAGGGUCUCGCGGCCUAUCAGCUAGUUGGUGAGGUAACGGCUCACCAAGGCAACGACGGGUAGCUGGUCUGAGAGGACGAUCAGCCACACUGGGACUGAGACACGGCCCAGACUCCUACGGGAGGCAGCAGUGGGGAAUAUUGCGCAAUGGGCGAAAGCCUGACGCAG
rnacentral:rRNA from 1 species